rnacentral:rRNA from 1 species
GGUUCCCUACGGGAGGCAGCAGUGGGGAAUAUUGCACAAUGGGGGGAACCCUGAUGCAGCGACGCCGCGUGAGUGAAGAAGUAUUUCGGUAUGUAAAGCUCUGUCAGCAGGGAAGAAGAAAGACGGUACCUGACCAAGAAGCCCCGGCUAACUACGUGCCAGCAGCCGCGGUAAUACGUAGGGGGCAAGCGUUAUCCGGAUUUACUGGGUGUAAAGGGAGCGUAGACGGCAUAGCAAGUCUGAAGUGAAAGCCCGUGGCUCAACCGCGGAACUGCUUUGGAAACUGUUAAGCUGAAGUACUGGAG